rnacentral:rRNA from 1 species
UUGAUUACCGUCAUAAUUCGUCUCCGUGGACGUCUUCCGUUGAAAUUUCCGUGUCGUCCGAUAACUGCGCUAAGUGGUGGUUCGCCACCUUUAACUCACCGAGGAUGUUUUGCAGUAUCUCCUCUAGUAAACCCAUUGCGUAGGUGAGCAGGGUUGCGUCAGAGACUUUAAGUGCGCCUGACGCAGGGUCAACGAUUGAAACACCGUCAGCCCCGACCAACAGGUUCGAAGGUAAGAACGCCGUCGUGCCAUCCUCAAGCGUCACCUGCUGGCCUGG